rnacentral:misc_RNA from 1 species
CAGUAUUUACUACUAGGCCAAGGUGAUUUUGUUCAGUAUCUAAUGGAUAUUGUUGGGCCAGAGCUUUCUGAGCCUGCUAAUACCAUUAGCUCAUUCAAGCUAGCAGGAUUGCUGGAAAGUGCAAUUCGAUCAUCUAAUGCUCAGUAUGAUGACUGUGAUAUUUUAGAUAGAUUGAGGGUUAAGAUGAUGCCACAUGGCACUGGAGAUAGGGGCUGGGAUGUAUUUUCAUUGGAAUAUGAUGCUAGAGUUCCACUAGAUACAGUGUUCACAGAGUCUGUAAUGGGAAGGUAUUUAAGAAUUUUUAAUUUUCUGUGGAAAUUGAGACGAGUAGAGCAUGUGCUUAUUGGUGCUUGGAAGAUGAUGAAACCAAAUUGUAUUACAUCUCGUUCUUUCACUAAGCUGCAGGGUGCAGUUAAGUUGCAGUUACUUUCAACAUUGAGGCGAUGUCAAGUUCUUUGGAAUGAGAUGAAUCAUUUUGUUACCAACCUGCAAUAUUAUAUCAUGUUUGAAGUCUUGGAGGUAUCAUGGUCUAACUUUUCAAAUGAGAUGGAAGUAGCAAAAGAUCUUGAUGAUCUACUUGCAGCCCAUGAGCAGUAUCUCCAUUCAAUUGUGGAGAAAUCUCUUCUUGGUGAACGUUCUCAGCCCCUUUACAAGUCUCUCUUUGUCUUGUUUGACCUCAUAUUACGUUUCAGAAGUCAUGCAGAUCGGUUGUAUGAAGGCAUUCAUGAAUUGCAAGCAAGAACCAUGGCAUCCUCCUUACCUUCUCAAGACAAGAACAAAUCAAGAAGGCAGACCUCAGAUAAAUCCUCAGAACCUGGAUCAUGGAUUAGCGAUGGCAGGAAGGCCUUAACACAACGUGCUGGGGAAUUCCUUCGAAAUAUGGGGCAGGAACUGGAUGCCAUAGCAAAGGAAUAUACAACAUUGCUAGAAGGAUUCUUAUCUCAAUUGCCUGUGCAGCAACAUGUUGAUUUGAAAUUUCUCCUGUUCCGGCUUGACUUCACCAAAUUUUAUAGUCAAGUUAAUCCUAUUAAAUAGAAGUUAGUAAAGCUGUUAAUACGACUGGGUUCAAACUAAAUUUGCAAUUCAAGGCGUGAAAAAAACUGCUUCAGUUUGACUAAUUGCUCAUCGCCAUGCAAGAAAAAUUUGCAGUUCAUUGCUGACAUCUGG